CCGGAUGAAGCUAAAAUUUAGUAUUUCACUUACAAUGAAAAGGAUGGUCGAUAGUUGACUUAUCUGGA
rnacentral:tRNA from 1 species